CUCUCCCUCCCUCUCGCCUCCCUCCCUCCCUCCCUUCUCCANCAUCACUAAAUCCUACAGAGUACAGGGCGGAAAACGGUGCACAC
rnacentral:lncRNA from 1 species